rnacentral:rRNA from 1 species
UACGUAGGUGGCAAGCGUUAUCCGGAUUUACUGGGUGUAAAGGGUGUGUAGGCGGGAAAGCAAGUCAGAUGUGAAAACCACGGGCUCAACCUGUGGCCUGCAUUUGAAACUGUUUUUCUUGAGUACUGGAGAGGCAGACGGAAUUCCUCGUGUAGCGGUGAAAUGCGUAGAUAUGAGGAGGAACACCAGUGGCGAAGGCGGUCUGCUGGACAGCAACUGACGCUGAGGCGCGAAAGCGUGGGGAGCAAACAGG